rnacentral:misc_RNA from 1 species
GUGAAGAACGCAGCGAAAUGCGAUAAGUAAUGUGAAUUGCAGAAUUCAGUGAAUCAUCGAAUCUUUGAACGCACAUUGCGCCCGCCAGUAUUCUGGCGGGCAUGCCUGUUCGAGCGUCAUUUCAACCAUCAAGCCCCAGGCUUGUGUUGGAGCCCUGCGGCUGCCGCAGCCUCCCAAAACCAGUGGCGGGCUCGCUAUCACACCGAGUGCAGUAGUUUACUCUUCGCUCAGGGCGUGUGGCGGGUGCUAGCCGUAAAACCCCCAACUUCUCAAGGUUGACCUCGGAUCAGGUAGGGAUACCCGCUGAACUUAAGCAUAUCAAUAAGCGGAGGA